rnacentral:tRNA from 1 species
ACCUGGCUGGCUUAGUCGGUAGAGCAUGCGACUCUUGAUCUCAGGGUUGUGAGUUCAAGCCCCACACUGGAUG